rnacentral:rRNA from 1 species
UACGAGGGGGGCUAGCGUUGCUCGGAAUCACUGGGCGUAAAGGGUGCGUAGGCGGGUCUUUAAGUCAGGGGUGAAAUCCUGGAGCUCAACUCCAGAACUGCCUUUGAUACUGAAGAUCUUGAGUUCGGGAGAGGUGGGUGGAACUGCGAGUGUAGAGGUGAAAUUCGUAGAUAUUCGCAAGAACACCAGUGGCGAAGGCGGCUCACUGGCCCGAUACUGACGCUGAGGCACGAAAGCGUGGGGAGCAAACAGG